UUUGUAAAGGGCUGACAUUAACAUUGCACCGGGAAUCGUGGACACAGAAUAAAUGUUUCUUUAUUUUUCUUCCUUCUCGCAGAGGCUCAAAGAACACCUGGAAAAACCCCAAAGAUCUCAGUAGUAGAGGCUGACAGAUCGUGUAACUGAGAAAUCAAGAAUCUCUUUAUUGGAUGCAGGGUCAAUUUAGCCCUUGCAAGAAAUGUGUUUCAAAAUUUGGUUAUAAAUAAUAAUUGUGGAAUCAUAUUCCAUUGGGGUGUGACUGUGCAGGUUGUUCACACCUUGUGUCCCUUCCAACUGGUUGUUGCCGAUUCACCAGUAUUCAC